GACGAACGCUGGCGGCGUGCUUAACACAUGCAAGUCGAACGGUAAGACCCUUCGGGGUACACGAGUGGCGAACGGGUGAGUAACACGUGGGUAAUCUGCCCUGCACUUCGGGAUAAGCCUGGGAAACUGGGUCUAAUACCGGAUAGGACCACUGCCUGCAUGGGUGGUGGUGGAAAGCUUUUGCGGUGUGGGAUGGGCCCGCGGCCUAUCAGCUUGUUGGUGGGGUGAUGGCCUACCACGGCGACGACGGGUAGCCGGCCUGAGAGGGUGACCGGCCACACUGGGACUGAGAUACGGCCCAGACUCCUACGGGAGGCAGCAGUGGGGAAUAUUGCACAAUGGGCGCAAGCCUGAUGCAGCGACGCCGCGUGAGGGAUGACGGCCUUCGGGUUGUAAACCUCUUUCAGCACCGACGAAGCGCAAGUGACGGUAGGUGCAGAAGAAGGACCGGCCAACUACGUGCCAGCCGCCGCAGUAA
rnacentral:rRNA from 1 species